GUUUUCUUGGGAUCUUCAAGAGGCUUAACAAAUAACAAGUAACAGAUUCAAUUAGAUCCUCUCCAAAGAUUCAUGAUGAAAAAACAAAUUUUAUCUGCCAAAUACAAAAAAAAUCACAAAGUAGAAUUCAGUGUUGACAGAUGGACUGAUAAGCAUGCAAAGUAUUGGGCGGGCAAAGAAAAUCAAUAUGCCACAAUCACAUAUACUGUGUAACUCGGCCUGAUUGAUGCAAACAUACCACCAGUUUCAAUAACACUAUGGAUUGUAUUACAAGCACAAAUGGCAAGAAGAAUCACCAUCUACCAAUUUAGUUGCAUAGUUCUGGUAUCCAGUCAAAGCAAAGAGAGGAAGAUGUUCAAAUGAAACUAUAGAAAACAGUACACCAUAGUAGUAAAGAUGCCAACUUUGCUUAAUAUCUUUCUUUUUUACAAACAGUGAAAAAAAAAGGCAUCAAUUGAGAACUUUCAUAAGAAACUUAGCUAAAUUACCAAGUUAGCACAGCAAAGGAAUUACCAUUUUUUAUUCCAGAAUAGCCUAAUAGCAUUCUCAUAGGUAUGCAAUGCAUUAAAAGUGAAUUGUGUACCCAUAUAAACUGUGCAAAAAUAUGAGCAACUGAUUUUGUUCACCGUAAACUGAGAAACUAGGUAAAUUAACUAUAAUUAAUCAAGCUCAGAGAUAUGCCAAACUCCUCCCCCGCCAGACUUCAAUAAUCCAAAAAAUGCCCCGGAGAAUUAACAGUCAAUGCAACAGAAAUUAUAUAUUAAAAGAAAAAAUACAAAAUGCUACAAAAAUCUGCAGAAAAGAAAGUGACAAAUGGUUAGGUUACAUCAUGAGACAUAAGAAACUAAAGAAAGAAUAAAUAACAUCAAAUAUGAUAACUACAACUGCCCUAGGGAAAUCAACAUACCAUGCUCCCAAACCCAAUAUAUAU
rnacentral:misc_RNA from 1 species